rnacentral:tRNA from 1 species
AAGGAUUUAAGUUAAACACAAACUUUUAACCUUCAAAGUUAAACAUAGAUACUAUCUAAGCCUUA